GAUGAAGAACGUAGCGAAAUGCGAUACGUAAUGUGAAUUGCAGAAUUCAGUGAAUCAUCGAGUCUUUGAACGCACAUUGCACUCCUUGGUAUUCCGAGGAGUAUGCCUGUUUCAGUAUCAUGAGCACUCUCACAUCUAACCUUUGGGUUAAAAUGUGGAAUUGGGAUGCGCCGGUUAUUAUAACGGCCCUCCUAAAAUUCAGUUCUUGGCUGCUUCCUACUACAGCAGUUUGGCCUAAUAGUUUUGAGUCUUCGAUUCAAAUCUUUGGCUAACAUUUGCUUCAGGAUGUCAGUCUUGAUAUACAGAAAUCUCAUUCAAACUUUGAUCUGAAAUCAGGUAGGGCUACCCGCUGAACUUAAGCAUAUCAAUAAGCGGAGGA
rnacentral:misc_RNA from 1 species